CCACUUUAUGUUUAUACAUAGCAAUGCGUAAGAAGAAAGCGUGAUAGUAAGAAAAGAAUGUCAACAACCACCCAAACAAAUCAACAAGCAGUUUCCUUUCUUCGUUCUCUGGUGGUGUCGAUGGCGAUGAGACGUCGUACUCGGAGAGGCCUUCCAGUGUGCUGUCGUUCCACUCGCCGGCACGUUGGCAGCUCUAGUUCAACGAUGUCAAAGAAUCCAACCAGCUCCUCGAAAGCAAGUGUCUCUGUCGGUUCUUGAAGCUCCUCUUUAUCUCCGAAACCCCUUCAAUAUUUGUUCUCACACCGUUGGAACUCCACCUCGGAAGUUGCAACAACGUUAUACAGCUGGUAUUAUCAAGGGUAAAAAAGCCAUUUGUGUUCAAUUCAUCGCAAAUCUCCUCAGCACAGCGGGUGAUACAAAAAGUAGGUAUCCCGCAAAUCUUCUCAAUUCGGUCGUUGCAAAUCCGCGGAAGUGAACAACGUUUUUGAUUGAAUUCAUCGCUCGCCAAUCUGCGUGAAUAGUAAAUUCAGCGCAAGUGAACACAGCCUAAGAGUUUUUCUGUCACUUUGCUUAAUUCCAAGAAUCUCUUUACUGAUGACAAACAUUUGUGAUGCAGGGAAAUAUUUUUCAAGGAAAAGUCUUUCCAUAUUUUCCCAGUUAGAUAAUACCACAAAUCCUGAGUUGCUCUUUGAGAGUAAAAGGAGAAGCUCUCAUUUUCAAGGUUUCUAAUGUGAUAUUGGGAGAUCUAAAGUUUUCACACAACAUAUGAAAUUGUCUUAGAUGUUUAUAUGGAUUCUCCCCAAAUAACUCAUUGAAUUUUGACAAGGCAUUUAGUAGGUUAGUUCUCAGCUCACACUCUUCAUUUGGAUAUUCAAUGUCAUUGUGUGUGACUGUAUUGUAGGAGGUAGCUAACUUUCUAAUGGUUCUUUAAGCCAUUAUGUUUAGGUCAGGAUCAGGUGAAGGAUCAAAAGAUAUGUUUAUAACUGGAGAAGAUGAAAGUGAUAUAGUUUGUGCAGUGGCUUCCGAUGUUGAAGAUGUUCUCUCAAUAGAACACCCAAAUUUCAAAUUUUUUCGUAUCCUAUGCAAGUUUCAUUUAACUUCUGGGUCAAUUUGAUAAAAUUCGCUCAGGUUGGCUUGAGUCAUGCACUAUAAAGUUCGACUGAAGUUGUUUCUU